UUGGAUAAACGAAGAUAUAUUAUAUCUCUCUCUGUCGCGCGAUUUGGCAAGAAAAUGGCGUCGCUUCUCAUAUGGCGCCACUCUGAUUAGAGGCUCUCUACCAGAGAGGAUCCUCUCUGUCUCUACUCUCUCCAGUCCUCCAUGCGCUGACAGUUGCUGACAGUUGCUGACAGCCGACUGAUGCUGUGUGGCACAGGUGAAAUAACGGCCGUAUAUGAAUACGAUGAAUACUUGCCGCGCGAGAAGGUGUAACAAUUGGUGCGACGUGUGAUCGAUCGGUCGACGCGACCUAACCUCGAAGCGACAUGAUAACCUCACAUGUACUCGUCCUGCUUACCGGCUUCUGGUUCGGUGUCGGGACGUGUAAUAAUGCGUACAACGAUUUCUUUGACGAGGAAUUGAUGCUGAAGCCCCUAUCGAGCAAUCAUGUCUACGCCUACUUUCAAUUUACCACAAUAUGGGAAACGAUAAA